ACUCCUACGGGAGGCAGCAGUGGGGAAUAUUGCACAAUGGGGGAAACCCUGAUGCAGCCAUGCCGCGUGUGUGAAGAAGGCCUUGGGUUGUAAAGCACUUUCAGUAGGGAGGAAGGUAGUGUAGUUAACACCUGCAUUAUUUGUACGUUACCUACAGAAGAAGCACCGGCUAACUCCGUGCCAGCAGCCGCGGUAAGUACGGAGGGUGCGAGCGUUAAUCGGAAUUACUGGGCGUAAAGCGCAUGCAGGCGGCCUGUUAAGUCAGAUGUGAAAGCCCGGGGCGUUAACCUCGGAAUUGCAUUUGAAACUGGCAGGCUAGAGUCUUGUAGAGGGGUUAGAAUUUCAGGUGUAGCGGUGAAAUGCGUAGAGAUCUGAAGGAAUACCAGUGGCGAAGG
rnacentral:rRNA from 1 species